AGCCGGUAGAUGAACAGAUCUCAUAAUAUUACGAUGCUCAAGAAAGAACGUUAUUAAAUAUCAAAUAGUAAAUUGUGUGAAACAAUAUUAAAAACGUUCACUAUUGGUUAGGAAAUUAACGAUACAAAAGGGAAAACACGUACAAGACGAACAAAGCUUCGAAGAGGAAUGCUGUACUGCGUCACAAAUCGACGCACUCGCUCUCACAGCGACGUGUCUGAUUGGUCGAAAUGAGGGGACGCCAACAUGGGACGACCAAUCACAGCCAUCGAUAGAAGUUUCAAAGUGCUUCGAAACUUUAAUACAAAUCGUAAGGGAAAGACACGUGCAAGACGAACGAAGCUUCGAAGAGGAAUGCUGUACUGCGUCACAAAUCGACGCACUCGCUCACACAGCGACGUGUCUGAUUGGUCGAAAUGAAAGGAUGCCGAAUGAAACAACCAAUCACAGCCAUUGAUAGAAGUUUCGAAACUGUAAUGUUAAUCGUAAUGGAAUCGUUCAUACAAUAAAUAUCAACGAUAAAAUCGAAUAAUGUACUUUUUUUAGCAACA